AUUGAACGCUGGCGGCAGGCCUAACACAUGCAAGUCGAGCGGAUGAAGGGAGCUUGCUCCUGGAUUCAGCGGCGGACGGGUGAGUAAUGCCUAGGAAUCUGCCUGGUAGUGGGGGAUAACGUCCGGAAACGGGCGCUAAUACCGCAUACGUGCUGAGGGAGAAAGUGGGGGAUCUUCGGACCGCACGCUAUCAGAUGAGCCUAGGUCGGAGUAGCUGGUUGGUGGGGUAAAGGCCUACCAAGGCGACGAUCCGUAACUGGUCGGAGAGGAUGAUCAGUCACCCUGGAACUGCGACACGGCCCAGACGCCUACGGGAGGCAGCAGUGGGGAAUAUUGGACAAUGGGCGGAAGCCUGAUCCAGCCAUGCCGCGUGUGGGAAGAAGGUCGUCGGAUUGUAAAGCACUUUAAGUUGGGAGGAAGGGCAGUAAGUUAAUACCUUGCUGUUUUGACGUUACCAACAGAAUAAGCACCGGCUAACUUCGUG
rnacentral:rRNA from 1 species